GUGGGUGGGGACAAGGUGGCCUCACUCCACAUUUGUACUUCAAGCCUCCAGUGGCAGGAGAGCCCCCUAGAGCCCAGCUGGUGUCCCACUCAGGAGGGCACACAGGUGUGGCUGAGUCCAAGUGUGUGGGAUAUGGGGGCUGCACCACAGGGUGCAAGAGUGCGAGAGAGUGAGCUGGCCUGGAUGUUCUGACAAAGACUAAGGAUCCCAUAAGCAUAUACGUUCCUCAAGGCGGCAGGUUUACCUCGCAGAACGCAGUAGCCUGAGGUUCUGGAUUGCAGACUGCCUGGGUGUCAGUCACUGCCCUGGCCGGCUGGGGGCCUUGGGCACGUC
rnacentral:lncRNA from 1 species